rnacentral:tRNA from 1 species
AACCUAGUAGCACAACUGGUAGUGCACCAAAUAAGGGGAGGUUCUGGGUUCGAUCCCCAGCUACGUUA